GACGAACCGUGCGAACGUUGUUCGGAAUCACUGGGCUUAAAGGGCGCGUAGGCGGUCUGCCAAGUCCGGGGUGAAAGCCUCCAGCUCAACUGGAGAAGUGCCUUGGAUACUGGCGGACUCGAGCGAGAUAGGGGUCGUGGGAACUUCCGGUGGAGCGGUGAAAUGCGUUGAUAUCGGAAGGAACGCCGGUGGCGAAAGCGCACGACUGGAUCUCUUCUGACGCUGAGGCGCGAAAGCCAGGGGAGCAAACGGG
rnacentral:rRNA from 1 species